rnacentral:tRNA from 1 species
GGGAAGGUGGCUCAGUGGUAGAGUACUUGCCUUGCAUGCAUGAGGCCCUGGGUUCGAUUCCUCAGCUCCA